GACAACAGGGGAGCCUGUAUACAGGCUGAGAGGAAAUUGUAAUUUCGACCCAUAACCUGAUUUGGAUAAUGCCAACGUAGGGAAAUACAGAG
rnacentral:ncRNA from 1 species